ensembl:lncRNA
AUAUAUAUGUAUAUAUAUAUAUAUAAUCUAUAUCUCCUGAAUUAGUUCAUGGAGACUAAAUCCUCUCUGGCAUGUUGCUAUAGUUCAAGUUCUAGCAUCAUUCUUUUGAAAUGUGUGUACAUUUAUGUAUAUUAUGUACACCCAUGGGUUCAUAUACACAUACAUAGGUGUAUAUUAGUUUCUAUAAAACGAUAAGUAUAAAUGUCAACAUAAUAUGAAUAUUUACAGCUAACAAUGCUGUAAAUGUGAAUCUUUUAAUUAUUCAUGUAAACAGCUUGUUAGGCGUACUAUUAUUUGUGGACUAAGUGAAUGUAACAUAGUCGUGUGACUCCAAACAUUGAUUCCUCUAAACGGGUUUAAACAAAACGAGAAAAAGUGUUUGUAAAUGUCUAUGAACUAAUAUUCUGUUUUCUGUGAAGUUCAUGGACCAACGGAAUGAAACUAACAGGAGAUAUAAAGUUAAGCUGUUCAUCACAUGACAUGUAAUCACCAGCACGUUGGUGCAGAUACGAGUAAAUGCUCUUUAUAUAUAUAAACACUUGGCUGCCUCUCGACGGGAGCUCAACUCCGUUUAAAACAAACUCAAAAGAUCUUUAAGAAGAAACAGAGCCAAUCUGUCGCCAACAUGACUAAUCCUGCUGGCAGAGGCUCUGCGCGGUUACCACGGUUACCACGGCAACGAGGGGGGUGUGCCAUCCACGACGCGGUACGAAGGGCUGCAGGAGGAUGCGUUUACCGUCGGCCCAUCCGUGUCAAUAAGAGGAAUACUGAGCUGGAGUCAUCGCAGCCGUAGGGUCACAGCAGCGGCACAUGUUUGUAGUCGUCUCUAAUCAACUAAUGACUUCAUUAAUCCGCUUAAGCUCCUCUUUUGUGGAACCAGCUUCCACUUUCUGUCCAGGGGGCAGAUUCGGUCAGCUCAUCUAAGAUAAAGCUUAAGACUUUCCUCUUUGAUAUGGCUUAUAGUUAGGGCUGGCUCAGGUUAGUCUGGACCAGCCCUUAGUUAAGCUGCUGUAGGCUUAGACUCACAGGUUUCCAUGCAUCAUGGUUCUAUCUGGAUCCUGUUCCUGCCUCCUGCCGUGGCCCUGCUGACACCUGCUGCUGCCAUCAUCAGUAUUAUUACUAUUUUAAAUAUGAAUCAUAUUACUAUUACUGUCCACAUAAACCACCAUUUCCUAAAGGCGUGUGCUUUUCCUCCCCACAGGCUUCUGUGGAUGGUGGUUCUAUGUGAUGGUGGUUCUAUGAGGUGGGGGUUCUAUCUGAUGGUGGUUCUAUGGGAUGGUGGUUCUAUCUGAUGGUGGUUCUAUGAGGUGGUCGUUCUAUCUGAUGGUGGUUCUAUGAGGUGGUCGUUCUAUGUGAUGGUGGUUCUAUGAGGUGGUGGUUCUAUGGGAUGGUGGUUCUAUCUGAUGGUGGUUCUAUGUGAUGGUGGUUCUCUCUGAUGGUGGUUCUAUGUGAUGGUGGUUCUAUGUGAUGGUGGUGGUCCCUGCAGUGGUCCUGCAGUACACCUGCUCACUACUCCCAUUAUUUGAAUCAUCUCUGUCAUAUGAAUUGAAUGUAUCGUUCAUCUUCCACAUUGUUCAUUCUGUCCUCAUGACAUCAUCGUAGUCUGUCCAUCAGGAGACGGAUCCUCCUCUGACGUUCUCACUGAGGGUUCUUCCCUUUUCUCCCCAUGGAAGGGUUUCAUUGUUUGGGGAGUUUUUCCUGUGAGGGUAUCUGGACAGAGGAUGUCACAUGUGUACAGACUAAUACCCACUGAGGCAAAUUUGUAAUUUGCAAUUUUAGCUCUACAAAAUAAAAUAAAUUGAAUUGAAUUCAUUAUUUUCUAAUUGAUUUGUGACUUGGUCAACGUUUCUCUUAUAUCAUAAUCAAUUAGAUAUUUUUAUAGCUCAACAAUCCAAAAUCCCACAUUUCCCUUAGAGGGAUUUUAGAAUCUGUUUCAGAACAUAGCGACAUGAUGGAGCCUCACGUCUCUCAUCCGAUCUCCUAUAAUAAUCUACAAUAAUACAGGAGAACUCUAUUGGACCGAGCGGAUGUGUUUUAGUGAUAAACCACACAGGUGACCUCAGCAGGUCGCAGGUCUGCCGUGCGUUCAUGGUCCUCUUGAUUGUUCACCCUACAGAUGACUUGUUAGGCCACAAUUAGGCCUGACCUCUGACCUCACCUGCCACCAGAGUGCCAUUCAGGUUCCAUUUAAAAUCAUUUAAAUGCCUUUUUAGUAAUACACCAAUCAUAUAAUAAUACAUACGUCGAGGUUCAAGGAGAAGAGGUUUACAUUACGUUUCCAUGAAAUAUGAGAUCAUUCUGUCAACACAGUUGACAGAAUGAUCCAUAAAGAAGAAAACCCGUCUGUCUUCCCGCAGCCUGACCCUGCUCCGGUGCGCUCUGUUAAUGGGCCCUGAACGCCUCACGGGGCCCUCUCUUUGUCCCCUCCAUCUCACCGCCUCCGUCUCUGCAGAGAAACACCGACGCUGAGAGCACGCAUUAGUCCACAGGAAGCGCCAGCUGGUCACUAAUGUAUGACCCGCCGACCUGUAAUGGAGGUCUGUUUGAUACGCGCACGGGGGCCGCUCUCCAAUCACAGCCCAUUAGACACGAGGGUGCCACACGAAAAUGUAGUACUGCAUCAGUACCUGCAGAAAGCUGUAUGUUGAGGGCUCUUAUUGUGAAAGGACAAAGUGGAUCCGGUCUGCCCGAGGUAGAAGAGAUAAAGAUAAUGUUUCUUUAUACGGACUGAGAGGGAACUUCUAGUUCGUUUUGGUGAAGCUUCAUCUUUAAAAUCUGCAUCCUCUGUAGUGACCAGCAGGGGGCGACUCCUCUGCUCCCAUAGACGUCUAUGAGGAAAUGACUCUACUUCUCUGUAGUGACCAGCAGGGGGCGACUCCUCUGCUCCCAUAGACGUCUAUGAGGAAAUGACUCUACUUCUCUGUAGUGACCAGCAGGGGGCGACUCC